ensembl:lncRNA INTS6-AS1 INTS6 antisense RNA 1
CCGUGGGAGGGAAGGCACUCUCUGUCAAGCUGCUGUCACCUUACCUGAAGUAAGGAGUCCACGCCUGCAUGUCCGAGGAAAACAGUUUUCUCAAACACAUUAGUUGAAAAACUGAAGACGCUGCCUAAAAUACAAGCUGAGUUAGAGACAGCCCUUGUAAGACUAGAAAAAGAAAUGGAAACUAAGUAACAUGAAUUAACAUAGUCCAGGGUCACAAAGCAACAUGGAACAAGAACCUGGAUCUGAAUUCAGAGGCAGAAUGCUGGCUCCUUCAGGAGGUAUCCAAAGGCAUUGUUAUGGUGGGAGAUGACAGCUCCAUGCCUGUUAUUGCCUCUGAAGACCAUGCAGGACACCAUGUGGAGAUAGAAGACGGUGACAUUGAGAAUCCUGACCUUAUGCUGGCCUAGGCUAAUGUGUGUGUUUGUGUCUUAGUUUUUAACAAAAAAGUUUAUAAAGUAAAUAAAUAGAAAAUAGCAUAUAGAAUAAGGAUAUAAAGAAGGGAAA